GGUGCUGGGGCUCAGUGGUAGAGCAUACACCUAGCAUGUGUGAGGCAGUGGGUUCGAUCCUCAGCACCA
rnacentral:tRNA from 1 species